rnacentral:misc_RNA from 1 species
AAAUUUGAUAAAUUUUAGUCAUAAAAAAACUAAAAUAACAAUAUAGCCUUAUUCUAAACUAUUUUUUUCAACAACUAAAAUGUUUCUUUUUCUAAAAAGCACUUUUUGGCUGUCCAACCACAAUGCCAAACGAGCUACAUGAGAACUAAAUUCACAAUGUAUAUAUUCUGACUAAAACCCUUACUCUAAGAGUCUUCCACAACUCUAACCUUUGGUUAACUCCUUCAUUAGUUUCUUUCACAAAGAUAAUAUCAUUAUGCACCAUGGGACAUCAUCUUUAGUAUAAAUAAUUAGCUCAUCCAUAACUAACAUAAAUACAUACGGACUCAAAGCCAAUUCCUGAUGUAAACCCACUGUUGCGAGGAACUCAUCUGUAUUCCCUUUCAAUGUUCUUACAUUUGUGAUUGCUCCUUGAUAUAUCUCCUUAAUGAAAUCCAUAUAUUUGAGAUGGGCUUCUCUCUUCUCCAGCACUCGCUAAAGAACAUCCCUUAAUAUCAUAUACUUUUUCUAGGUUAAUAAAUACCAUAUAGAGUUCCCUCUUCCUCUUCCUACAUAUUUUCAUUAAUCUUCUUAACAAA